CUCAAAGUGACUGCGACCCGGAAGCACUGACUACCUGCGGCAGGAAAUGACGUCACCUCUCUGUGGUGUGAACGCCGAGCAGCCUCGGAAUGGAUGGAUGCGCGUUGCGCUUGCGCCUAGACAGAUGUCACGCCCUCUUUCGCUCGGCCCUCCCUUCUAUCCUAGGCCUUGUUGCUCUCGAGCUGCACUGCGACUGCGCUGGUGGUAGCGGCGCUCCGGGAGCCAAGCUCCGCCCCCUUUUGGGACCUCUGUGGAAGCUUUGAGUUCUUGUGACGCACGUCGCUGGUCGCCUUGUGACAGGGUGGCACGAACGUUCCAGAAGGCCCGUUUAUCCUCUUGCCGACUUUGGUUGGAUUUUCCUGCUUGUAGCCUUUACGUAAUCAUUACACUCGGUAAGCCUCUGUCUAGGCUAAGCAGUGUAAUUUUUAAGCAGGAGUCCUUGGCUGUCGGUCGAGUCUAGUUUCUGACUUGUAGACUCUCAGGCAGGAUGCAUUGUCUCUGUGAGCUUCCGAGUUUACCCAUCUGAAUAAUAGAAAUAGUGCCUACCUCAAAGGGGAGGAAGAUAAUAAUGAGAGGUACAGAAUUCAGACCACUCCAUACACCUGUGAAAGACAAGGCAGUUGAAGAUGUUGGCAAAAGAAUGGUUGAAUUUAUGGGCAAUGAAAUGGAAGCUGGUUAGGGAAGAAGUGAUGACAAUCAGAUGAAGAUUAAGUCACAGCUGAGGCCUCAAUGGUUCCCUGAUCCUGUGAUGCUCAAGGGCAAGAUUACAUCAGCUGAAGCUUCCUGGUUCUUUGGGAAUGGAGUAGUAAGAAUAUUUUGCUCAUCUCACCGUCUUCAUCAACAUAAGAUCUUCAUCAAGAUAGGAUUACUGCCACCCUCUGAGUCAUCUGAUACUCCCUCUGAUUAUUGUAUGAACCCAAUAAAUAGUGGCUAGCUCAGAGUGUCUUAGUGUUUGCCUACUGUGAGGCACUGAUUUUCCAGACCCC
ensembl:lncRNA